AUUGAACGCUGGCGGCAGGCCUAACACAUGCAAGUCGAACGAGUGGCGGACGGGUGAGUAAUGUCUGGGAAACUGCCUGAUGGAGGGGGAUAACUACUGGAAACGGUAGCUAAUACCGCAUACCAUCAGAUGUGCCCAGAUUGGAUUAGGUAGUUGGUGGGGUAACGGCUCACCAGGGCGACGAUCCCUAGCUGGUCUGAGAGGAUGACCAGCCACACCGUAACGUAGACACGUUCCAGACUCCUACGGGCGGCAGCCGUGGGGAAUAUUGCACAAUGGGCGCAAGCCUUAUGCAUCGAUGCCGCGUGUAUGAAGAAGGCCUUCGGGUUGUAAAGUACUUUCAGCGGGGAGGCGUUACCCGCAGAAGAAGCACCGGCUAACUCCGUGCCAGCCGCCGCGGUAAUAC
rnacentral:rRNA from 1 species